UACGGAGGGCGCAAGCGUUGUUCGGAAUCACUGGGCGUAAAGCGCGUGUAGGCGGCUUGGUAAGUCGGGUGUGAAAUCCCGGGGCUCAACGCCGGAACUGCAUCCGAUACUGCCUCGCUCGAGUCCCGGAGAGGAUGGCGGAAUUUCCGGUGUAGAGGUGAAAUUCGUAGAUAUCGGAAGGAACACCAGCGGCGAAGGCGGCCAUCUGGACGGUGACUGACGCUCAGACGCGAAAGCGUGGGGAGCAAACAGG
rnacentral:rRNA from 1 species